rnacentral:rRNA from 1 species
GACGAACGCUGGCGGCGUGCUUAACACAUGCAAGUCGAACGGAAAGGCCCUGCUUUUGUGGGGUGCUCGAGUGGCGAACGGGUGAGUAACACGUGAGUAACCUGCCCUUGACUUUGGGAUAACUUCAGGAAACUGGGGCUAAUACCGGAUAUGAGCUCCUGCUGCAUGGUGGGGGUUGGAAAGUUUCGGCGGUUGGGGAUGGACUCGCGGCUUAUCAGCUUGUUGGUGGGGUAGUGGCUUACCAAGGCUUUGACGGGUAGCCGGCCUGAGAGGGUGGCCGGACACAUUGGGACUGAGAUACGGCCCAGACUCCUACGGGAGGCAGCAGUGGGGAAUAUUGCACAAUGGGCGGAAGCCUGAUGCAGCAACGCCGCGUGCGGGAUGACGGCCUUCGUGUUGUAAACCGCUUUCGCCUGUGACGAAGCGUGAGUGACGGUAAUGGGUAAAGAAGCACCGGCUAACUACGUG